rnacentral:misc_RNA from 1 species
UCCAAGGAAACCAACAAUACACAAAAGGCUUUAAUUUGCGAUAUUAAUAAAGAAAGAAGAAUAAAAAAAGACAGCAAAGGAUACAUAAUCGCCAAGUUGGAAGGAAUACAGAUAUUAUGCUUGAAACUCUGGUAAGGACUUAACUUCUAGCUUAGUCACAAAGGGGGGAGGGGGUUGAAAACAUGAACAAUUUGAAGCUGGUCUGGGACAAGAAACAACAUAAAGCCGGGCUGGAGGCUCAAGGAAAACAGAUUUCCAAGUCCAAAGCAAACAACCAACCACAAUCUUUUGUGGUUUAACACCUAUUUAGCUUGAUUCGGCAACGCUGAGGGAAUAAAUCCACCAUAAAUUCAGAGAGGGUUUGUACAACAAAAGCAAAAGACGUAAGAAUUAGCAUUCGGAUCAAAUAGGACGAUGAAACGCAACAUGAGAUAAAGGUAUUUGAAACACAAAUCAAGGUGUCGCCAGACUUGACUAGUAGACUAAACCAAUAAAUAAAUCUCAUGGAAUACAAAAGCAUACUACCUCAAUGAAUGGCAAGACUUAGCAAACUAAACUCGACACUUAACAGUAACAAGAAUGUAUGCUUUAAUAAAUAAAAUUAGAGGUCAUUCCAGCAGAUAACAAGAGAAGGUUUAUAUUACAGAGAACAUAGCCGACAAAUAGCAACAAACAGUAGUAAAUCUCAAGAAAAAUACAACAUGCUAAACCAUUUUCGCUUAGUAAUAUAUUUCAUGCAAUAACUCCAAGAUAACUCCAUUAAGAUGCCAAAUUUGUCAUGCUAAAGGGACACAGAGAAACAUGGGACGGUGCUAGCGACUCAUCUUG